CUGAGCUCUGCCUCCUGCCAGAUCCGCAGCAGCAUGAGACUCUCAUAGGAGCUCAAACCCUGUUAUGAACUGCACAUGUGAGGGAUCUAGGCUCCUUAUGAGAAUCUAAUGCCUGAUGAUCUGUCACUGUCUCCCAUCACCCUCAGAUGGGACUGUCUAGUUGCAGGAAAACAAGCUCAGAGCUCCCACUGAUUCUACAUUAUGUCAUGGAGAUCUCAGUUGCGACCUCGCAUUGUCAGCCCCUGGUUACGGCGUGCUGAAAGCGGGCUUCAG
rnacentral:lncRNA from 1 species